rnacentral:rRNA from 1 species
GAUGAACGCUGGCGGCGUGCCUAAUACAUGCAAGUCGAGCGAACGGACGAGAAGCUUGCUCCUCUGAUGUUAGCGGCGGACGGGUGAGUAACACGUAGAUAACCUACCUAUAAGACUGGGAUAACUUCGGGAAACCGGAGCUAAUACCGGAUGAUAUAUUGAACCGCAUGGUUCAAAGGUGAAAGACGGUUUUGCUGUCACUUAUAGAUGGAUCCGCGCCGCAUUAGCUAGUUGGUAAGGUAACGGCUUACCAAGGCAACGAUGCGUAGCCGACCUGAGAGGGUGAUCGGCCACACUGGAACUGAGACACGGUCCAGACUCCUACGGGAGGCAGCAGUAGGGAAUCUUCCGCAAUGGGCGAAAGCCUGACGGAGCAACGCCGCGUGAGUGAUGAAGGUCUUCGGAUCGUAAAACUCUGUUAUUAGGGAAGAACAAAUGUGUAAGUAACUGUGCACGUCUUGACGGUACCUAAUCAGAAAGCCACGGCUAACUACGUG